rnacentral:lncRNA from 1 species
UCAGAACAGAUUAAAUUUUAUUCUAUUUUUAUCCCUAUUUAUUCUUACUUUCAACGAUUUCUUUAGUCUUCAGGCUUCAAUGCAGAUUGAAACAGAUGGAUGCCAGAAAGGGUCUUUUUUUUUUUUUCUUUUUUUUAGAGAUAGGUAGCAUGCUAUUUGUUUCGUUUAUUUUAUUUAGAAAUAAAUUUAGCUAGAAAUGUGAAUCAACUAGGAUUCGAACUUGGAUCUCGGGUACCAACCACCAAAUCCUUUACUAUUUGCUUUAGGGACGGUCGGUGAUGCCAGAAAGGUUGAAUGUUAUUAAUAGUAGGAUUUGAAAAUUUCUUGGUUCAUUAUGAUCUUCCACCUUUUGUUCAAUUUCUUAGGAUCUGUUUGUUUGCAAGAAAGUGGGGUGGAAGUGGGAUGGAGUAAGUGAUUUUCGGUGAAAACUGUCUACUUCCAUUGUUUGGUUCGCCGUAAAAAAUCCAGUUAACCUAAAAUGACGUAAUUGACUUCGGACCUUCAUGGGCCGAAGUCAAUUACGGUGAAGGGUGGUGAAGAAAAAAUAAUAAAAUAAUAUACUAGUUAAAGAUAGUUAUAUUUAAAUAUAUUUAAUUAUGAAAUUAAUUAUUUUUUUAUUCAUUUGACAUAUUUAAAAUAUCAUAAAAAAUGAUUAGUUAAAUUUUAAUUUUUUUUAUUUAGUUUGUAUAAUUAAAAUAUAAUAAAAAUUAAUUUAUUAAAUAUUAAUAUUUUUUUGCUUUAUAAUUUUAUUGUUGUAUUACUAUAAUUUAUGUAUAAAAAAUUAAUUUAGUUGCUAUAAAUUAAAUUUUAAUUAUAUAAAAAUAUAAUUAUAUUAUUUUUAUUUAUUAAAUUAUUUAUUAUUUAUAUAUAAACUAUAGUUUUAUAUCAUACACUUCCUACCAAAAUAAACAGUAGAAGUAAUGAAACUUACUUCCAUAACUACAAAACAAACAGCGAAAAAAAAAUAAUUUUUACCGAAUUCUACUUUAACUCAAAUUUCACUUCAACCCAAAGUCUAAUUUCGGUGAAAUAAACGUGUCGUUAACGGAUCAGAAUAGUUUUCGAAGCAAAUUAUUGGCUCCCACCUACC